GAAUCAUGCUUGUAUGCACUCAAAACAAACAUACCCAUGAAAUUCAAAGCCUAGUAGUUAAGUGAACCAAGACUCAACUCAAGAACAAAGUGAGUUGGGAAAUUUUAUACCUUUGUUGAUUCCUCUUUGCAUAAGCAAAGGCUAAUCGCCCAAGGAGAGGGCCUUCAUUCAUUGCUUCUUAGCUCCAUGGAUUUCUUGGAUGAGGAUGGUUGAAAGGAUUCUCCAAGUUCCCAAACUUGAGAACCUCUAAGUCUCCACACCA
rnacentral:lncRNA from 1 species